UUGUGAAAUCCUAUAACUGUUGCUUCGGCGGGUAGGGUCUCCGUGACCCUCCCGGCCUCCCGCCCCCGGGCGGGUCGGCGCCCGCCGGAGGAUAACCAAACUCUGAUUUAACGACGUUUCUUCUGAGUGGUACAAGCAAAUAAUCAAAACUUUUAACAACGGAUCUCUUGGUUCUGGCAUCGAUGAAGAACGCAGCGAAAUGCGAUAAGUAAUGUGAAUUGCAGAAUUCAGUGAAUCAUCGAAUCUUUGAACGCACAUUGCGCCCGCCAGCAUUCUGGCGGGCAUGCCUGUUCGAGCGUCAUUUCAACCCUCAAGCUCUGCUUGGUGUUGGGGCCCUACAGCUGAUGUAGGCCCUCAAAGGUAGUGGCGGACCCUCCCGGAGCCUCCUUUGCGUAGUAACUUUACGUCUCGCACUGGGAUCCGGAGGGACUCUUGCCGUAAAACCCCCAAUUUUCCAAAGGUUGACCUCGGAUCAGGUAGGAAUACCCGCUGAACUUAAGCAUAUCAAUAAGCGGAGGAAGUU
rnacentral:rRNA from 1 species